UAUGGCCAUAUCAUGUUUAAACACCGGUUCUCGUACGAUCAUCGUAGUUAAGCAACGUCGAAAUUGAUUAGUAGCAAAAUGGGUGACCGCUUGGGAAUACCAGAUGCUGUAAG